rnacentral:hammerhead_ribozyme from 1 species
AUCCAGCUGAGGAGUCGCAGAUAGGAAGAAACGCGCGUCAAACUGUAU